GAUGAACGCUGGCGGCGUGCUUAACACAUGCAAGUCGAACGGUGAAAGAGAGCUUGCUCUCUGGAUCAGUGGCGAACGGGUGAGUAACACGUGAGCAACCUGCCCCGGACUCUGGGAUAACAGCUGGAAACAGCUGCUAAUACCGGAUACGAGCUGCGAAGGCAUCUUCAGCCGCUGGAAAGAACUUCGGUCCGGGAUGGGCUCGCGGCCUAUCAGCUAGUUGGUGAGGUAACGGCUCACCAAGGCGACGACGGGUAGCCGGCCUGAGAGGGCGACCGGCCACACUGGGACUGAGACACGGCCCAGACUCCUACGGGAGGCAGCAGUGGGGAAUAUUGCGCAAUGGGCGAAAGCCUGACGCAGCAACGCCGCGUGAGGGAUGACGGCCUUCGGGUUGUAAACCUCUUUCAGCAGGGAAGAAGCGAAAGUGACGGUACCUGCAGAAGAAGCACCGGCUAACUACGUGCCAGCAGCCGCGGUAACAC
rnacentral:rRNA from 1 species